rnacentral:rRNA from 1 species
UAGAACGCUAGCUACAGGCUUAACACAUGCAAGUCGGAGGGGCAGCUAUUUUUAGUUUUGCUUGCAAACUGAAGAUGGCGACCGGCGCACGGGUGAGUAACACGUAUCCAACCUGCCGAUAACUCCGGGAUAGCCUUUUCGAAAGAAAGAUUAAUACCGGAUGGCAUACGAAUAUUGCAUGAUAACACCAUUAAAGAUUUAUUGGUAAACGAUGGGGAUGCGUUCCAUUAGGUAGUAGGCGGGGUAACGGCCCACCUAGCCUGCGAUGGAUAGGGGUUCUGAGAGGAAGGUCCCCCACAUUGGAACUGAGACACGGUCCAAACUCCUACGGGAGGCAGCAGUGAGGAAUAUUGGUCAAUGGACGAGAGUCUGAACCAGCCAAGUAGCGUGCAGGAUGACGGCCCUAUGGGUUGUAAACUGCUUUUAUAAGGGAAUAAAGUGAGUCUCGUGAGGCUUUUUGCAUGUACCUUAUGAAUAAGGACCGGCUAAUUCCGUG